rnacentral:rRNA from 1 species
GGUCAAGUGAAGAAGCGCAUACGGUGGAUGCCUUGGCAGUCAGAGGCGAUGAAAGACGUGGUAGCCUGCGAUAAGCUUCGGGGAGUCGGCAAACAGACUUUGAUCCGGAGAUCUCUGAAUGGGGGAACCCACUCAGCAUAAGCUGAGUAUCUUGUACUGAAUACAUAGGUGCAAGAGGCGAACCAGGGGAACUGAAACAUCUAAGUACCCUGAGGAAAAGAAAUCAACCGAGAUUCCCUUAGUAGUGGCGAGCGAACGGGGACUAGCCCUUAAGUGGCUUUGAGAUUAGCGGAACGCUCUGGAAAGUGCGGCCAUAGUGGGUGAUAGCCCUGUACGCGAAAAUCUCUUAGUCAUGAAAUCGAGUAGGACGGAGCACGAGAAACUUUGUCUGAAUAUGGGGGGACCAUCCUCCAAGGCUAAAUACUACUGACUGACCGAUAGUGAACCAGUACCGUGAGGGAAAGGCGAAAAGAACCCCGGAGAGGGGAGUGAAAUAGAUCCUGAAACCGUAUGCGUACAAGCAGUGGGAGCCUACUUGUUAGGUGACUGCGUACCUUUUGUAUAAUGGGUCAGCGACUUAUAUUCAGUGGCGAGCUUAACCGAAUAGGGGAGGCGUAGCGAAAGCGAGUCUUAAUAGGGCGUUUAGUCGCUGGGUAUAGACCCGAAACCGGGCGAUCUAUCCAUGGGCAGGUUGAAGGUUAGGUAACACUGACUGGAGGACCGAACCGACUACCGUUGAAAAGUUAGCGGAUGACCUGUGGAUCGGAGUGAAAGGCUAAUCAAGCUCGGAGAUAGCUGGUUCUCCUCGAAAGCUAUUUAGGUAGCGCCUCAUGUAUCACUGUAGGGGGUAGAGCACUGUUUCGGCUAGGGGGUCAUCCCGACUUACCAAACCGAUGCAAACUCCGAAUACCUACAAGUGCCGAGCAUGGGAGACACACGGCGGGUGCUAACGUCCGUCGUGAAAAGGGAAACAACCCAGACCGUCAGCUAAGGUCCCAAAGUCAUGGUUAAGUGGGAAACGAUGUGGGAAGGCUUAGACAGCUAGGAGGUUGGCUUAGAAGCAGCCACCCUUUAAAGAAAGCGUAAUAGCUCACUAGUCGAGUCGGCCUGCGCGGAAGAUGUAACGGGGCUCAAACCAUGCACCGAAGCUACGGGUAUCACUUAGGUGAUGCGGUAGAGGAGCGUUCUGUAAGCCUGUGAAGGUGAGUUGAGAAGCUUGCUGGAGGUAUCAGAAGUGCGAAUGCUGACAUGAGUAACGACAAUGGGAGUGAAAAACUCCCACGCCGAAAGACCAAGGUUUCCUGCGCAACGUUAAUCGACGCAGGGUUAGUCGGUCCCUAAGGCGAGGCUGAAAAGCGUAGUCGAUGGAAAACAGGUUAAUAUUCCUGUACUUCUAGUUAUUGCGAUGGAGGGACGGAGAAGGCUAGGCCAGCUUGGCGUUGGUUGUCCAAGUUUAAGGUGGUAGGCUGAGAUCUUAGGUAAAUCCGGGAUCUUAAGGCCGAGAGCUGAUGACGAGUUGCCUUUAGGCGACGAAGUGGUUGAUGCCAUGCUUCCAAGAAAAGCUUCUAAGCUUCAGAUAACUAGGAACCGUACCCCAAACCGACACAGGUGGUUGGGUAGAGAAUACCAAGGCGCUUGAGAGAACUCGGGUGAAGGAACUAGGCAAAAUGGCACCGUAACUUCGGGAGAAGGUGCGCCGGUGAGGGUGAAGGACUUGCUCCGUAAGCUCAUGCCGGUCGAAGAUACCAGGCCGCUGCGACUGUUUAUUAAAAACACAGCACUCUGCAAACACGAAAGUGGACGUAUAGGGUGUGACGCCUGCCCGGUGCCGGAAGGUUAAUUGAUGGGGUUAGCUAACGCGAAGCUCUUGAUCGAAGCCCCGGUAAACGGCGGCCGUAACUAUAACGGUCCUAAGGUAGCGAAAUUCCUUGUCGGGUAAGUUCCGACCUGCACGAAUGGCGUAACGAUGGCGGCGCUGUCUCCACCCGAGACUCAGUGAAAUUGAAAUCGCUGUGAAGAUGCAGUGUAUCCGCGGCUAGACGGAAAGACCCCGUGAACCUUUACUAUAGCUUUGCACUGGACUUUGAAUUUGCUUGUGUAGGAUAGGUGGGAGGCUUUGAAGCGUGGACGCCAGUUCGCGUGGAGCCAUCCUUGAAAUACCACCCUGGCAACUUUGAGGUUCUAACUCAGGUCCGUUAUCCGGAUCGAGGACAGUGUAUGGUGGGUAGUUUGACUGGGGCGGUCUCCUCCUAAAGAGUAACGGAGGAGUACGAAGGUGCGCUCAGACCGGUCGGAAAUCGGUCGUAGAGUAUAAAGGCAAAAGCGCGCUUGACUGCGAGACAGACACGUCGAGCAGGUACGAAAGUAGGUCUUAGUGAUCCGGUGGUUCUGUAUGGAAGGGCCAUCGCUCAACGGAUAAAAGGUACUCCGGGGAUAACAGGCUGAUACCGCCCAAGAGUUCAUAUCGACGGCGGUGUUUGGCACCUCGAUGUCGGCUCAUCACAUCCUGGGGCUGAAGCCGGUCCCAAGGGUAUGGCUGUUCGCCAUUUAAAGUGGUACGCGAGCUGGGUUUAGAACGUCGUGAGACAGUUCGGUCCCUAUCUGCCGUGGACGUUUGAGAUUUGAGAGGGGCUGCUCCUAGUACGAGAGGACCGGAGUGGACGAACCUCUGGUGUUCCGGUUGUCACGCCAGUGGCAUUGCCGGGUAGCUAUGUUCGGAAGAGAUAACCGCUGAAAGCAUCUAAGCGGGAAACUUGCCUCAAGAUGAGAUCUCACUGGAGCCUUGAGCUCCCUGAAGGGCCGUCGAAGACUACGACGUUGAUAGGUUGGGUGUGUAAGCGCUGUGAGGCGUUGAGCUAACCAAUACUAAUUGCCCGUGAGGCUUGACCAU